CACAUUUUGGUACGGUAAUUCAUUUGGCAGAAAGGGCAUCAUCUUGCCCUCGAGAUAAGCCCGCACAAUGUGGCUUAGAAGUCGCAGAAGUAGGUCUUGCAUGAAGGAAGUCCUUCUCGCUAAGUCGCAACACAUACUGGAUAUCUCGUUGCUUUUGGUCAGGCUGUGCCUGCGUCUUAAUUCAUAGAGGUGCCUCAGUGGCUCUGCAGAGAGGCCAGUGUCCUUACAAAGAGAAGUUGAAAGUCACCUAGUGAGGAGAGGCACCGGGCAGGGUGCAGAGACCCAAGGGGACGCGCCAGGUUUUAAAGAGCUUGUGGCCUCUUGACGGGGGCGUGUCUAAGGCAGAGCUGAGAGCUGGUUGUUUUCAGAAGAGGCGGCAGGAAGUGUCGAGUGGGGUGGGGCCAAGCCGCCUGCUCAAUAUCGGUUUUUGAAUACCCCGGGUGUGUUUGGAGCUCUGGAGGUGGUCUCUGAUAGCCGGAGACCAAACUGAGCAUAUUUUUUUUUUUAUAAAACUGAGCACUUUGUUUUUUUUUUUUUUUUUUUGUCAUGAAACUGAGCAUUUUUUUUUUUUUUUUGUCAGAAAACUGAGCACUUUUUUUUUGUUCACAAAACUGAGCACUUUUUUUUUUUUUUUUUUGUCACCAAACUGAGCAUUUAUUUAUUUAUUUAUUUUUGUCACCAAACUGAGCUGAAGAAGGAAUUCAUAGGGCCUGGACUCCAUCUCAGGCCUGUCUGUGCUGAUCGUGCGUGGCCACCUCUCCAGUGGACUCUGAACUCUGUGCUUAGCGCCUGUGGGAACAACAUUGGAAGGAUAAGACCCCCCUCUGGGCAGGGGAAUGUUGAAGAAGAGAAAACAGACACUAAUCACCCCUGCCUCUGGACACUAUCUAUCAGAAUGUAAGCACAGGCUUAUCGGUUAUUAACUAUUUGGAAUGUAACUGCGGGCUUAUUGAUUAUUGACUGUUUGAACACAUAACACGUGAAUGAUGGGGUUAUUGUAAUUGUAUUUACCCUUCCUUUGUUUAUGUAAGUCUCAAGGGAAUUGGGGUAGUGGGUUUGGACGCGUGCACAUGGGGUAUAAAAGAUUUUCACAAAUGCUGGUCGGGGUCCUUGGCUAAGAGGAGACUCUGCCUUGGGCCCGCCAGUGUAAUAAACUGCACUCCACUAUCUGCAUUGUCCUUCUGAGAGAGUUUGCUUCCCGGAAAGCGUGGCUAUAACAUUUGGUGCAUUGGCCGGGAAACUCCUCACUUUGAGGAGACAGGUCUCACUUGAGGCCACCCCGAGGCUUUGUAGCUUGAACCUCCUAGAGGAGGGAAGGCGCCUCGCCCCUCUGGAAGGAUUCUGCUUCUCAACGCCCGGACCUUUCACGUCAGCAGGUAGUGGACGGCAGCAGGGGAACUGAGCGCUCAGGUGAGGAGGAACUCACCGAGUAGGGUGGAAGAGGGGGCCUGAUCACCCCUCUGGGAGGGACUAGAAGGAGCGGGGACCCACAGGAGCCUGGAAUAGGCAGGCGGCGAUUGCUUGGUACACAGGUCGACGAGCGUGCUAGGGUUUAGGAAGGAAAUUUGUGAAGGUCAUUUAGGAGGUGUGUCCACGCUGUCUCGGGGAAAAUUAUUACCAAGCUAUCGCCAGGGGAUUCUUAGGAUAGGAAACUGGUCCUUGUAUGCUCGUAUUCUGCCCUCCCCCAGGAGGUGUCCUCUCUGCUGUGAAAUUCUUGACCCCCUUGGAAUUGUUGGGCUAGAAGGAGGGGGAAACAGAAGUGAGUAUGAAUUGGCUUUUCUGGAGAUGGCCUGGGACAUGAGAUAUUUAACCCAUCUGUGUUUUCAUCCGCACCUGAUCAAGCCCACCAAGGCAGAAUGGACUUUAAGGGAGAAACAGUCUCGGACCAUGUGAUGUUCUGGUUCAGCUAUGCUGACUGGCAGGUGAAGACACGCUGAUCCCCCUUCUCCCUCUGGGAUCUGGCAGGUAAGGCUCUUCUCACCCCAGUUAAGGAGGCAAAAUGGCAAUUUAAGUGUCACUGAGUGGAAAUAUCAGAAGUACAUAGGGUACUGAGAACUUCGUAGACAGAACGAAAAGGAAAAGUAGAAGAAGGUCCGAGAAGGUAAGCAAGAUGGGGGAAAGUGAAUCUAAGGCAACUGUAUUGGAGUGCAUGAUUAAAAAUUUAAAGAAGGGAUUAGGAGGAGACUAUGGGGUGGAGAUGAAGCCUAACUGCCUCCACAUACUCUGUGAGGUCGAAUGGCCCCCUAUGGGAGCAGGAUGGCCACCAGAGAACACUGUGAACUUAAAAAUAGUGGAAGCAAUCUAUACAGCAGUCACAGGAGAGCCAGGACACUUGGAUCUAUAUCCAUCUAUUGACUCAUGGCUAGGGUUAGCUUGAGACCCUCCUACUUGGACAAGGUUCUGUAUCCAGAAGGGAAAGGGAAAAAUAUUAAUGGCACAAAAAUUGACUUAUGAUAAAAAAGGAAAUUCUACAGGAUUUGGACGGGGAUGACCUGACCCCUCCCCCAUGCUGGAUAAUGACACGCCUGCCUCCCAGUGCUUCACCAGGACCGGAGGCCGCCUUAAUGCCCGAUCCAGGGCCAGGUGAAGUUUCUGCAACAGCCACUGCUCCUCUGCCAGCUUUCCCGGAGUUCAUAGAGCCGCCGUUUGGGCAGGCUCCGAUCCCGGUGACAGAAGCCUCUGGCCAACACUUCCAGGAUCCGGCUCCACCCGAACCGCCCAAGCUAUACCCGCCUCUCCUGGUGAGUACUGACAAGACGGGGAGGGAGACGUUGGAAUUAAGCAGAGACCGCGCCCUGCCGGAGAGCUGGAGGGAACGAAAGAGAACAAACAAGAGCCUUACAGUGCAAGUUGCUGCUCUGGGAAAGUCUAUCUCGGGCCCUCCAGAAAACCUCAUCUGCCCCAGGGACAGGACAGUCCUUCAGCCGGUCCAAAGGGAGGCCCUGGGCCCAUUACAGCCAAACCAGUGUGCCCGGUGCCGAGCUUUUGGCCACUGGAAGAAGAAGAAGCUCCCGCAGUUGUGGGGCUUGCUGACCUGGAAAUUAACUAGGGCUGCCAGGGCUCAGAGAUAUCAGGUCCCUGAGAGCCCAUGGUAACCGUAAAAGUGGGGGACCAAAACACUGACUUCGUGGUGGAUACAGGAGAACUGUCGGUAGUAACAAAACCUGUGGCACCUCUGUCCACAAGACUACCGCUGUAACUGGGGUAUCGGGAGAAGAGAUGAUUAAAUCAUUUUGCCAGCCCAGAAAAUGUCAGAUUGGGGGGUGGGGGGGGCACCAAGUGAUUCAUGAACUCCUCUGCAUUCCUGAGUGCCCAGUACCCCUGUUGGGAAGAGACUUGCUCUCCAAACUAGGAGCACAAGUGACUUUCUCCCCUGAGGAGAGACCCACCUUCUGGACGGACUCUAUGACUUAUUUGCCCUCUCUCUCAAUACCAACCCAAGAUGAGUGGAGGUUGCAUGAGCCUCUGAAGGCAGAACCGGGUGGGCCAGAAGAACAUGAGGCAGCUAACUCAAUUAUUCCCUGAGGUCUGGGUGGAAGACAACCCCCUCCCCCCCCCCCCCCCCCCAGGCUGGCUAAACAUCAUGCCCCAGUGAUAAUAGAACUCAAACCAGGCACCAUCCCGGUUAGAGGGCGCCAGUACCCGCUAUGGAUGGAGGCCUGAACCGGCAUAUUGCCCCACAUCAAUAGAUUGAAACAAGCAGGCAUUCUGGUAGAGUGACAGUCGGCUUGGAAUACGCCAAUCCUGCCAGUCAACAGGGAAGGAGGACAGGACUAUAGGCCUGUACAAGAUCUCAGGCUAGUCAACCAGGCUACUGUGACUUUACAUCCCACUGUUCCAAACCCCUAUACCUUACUUAGCCUCCUCCCACCGAGGACUAAAGUUUACACUUGCCUAGAUCUCAAGGAUGCCUUCUUCUGCAUACGCCUCGCCCCAGCGUCACAGCCCAUCUUUGCCUUUGAAUGGGAAGAUCCAGUGGGGAGCACCAAACAACAGCUCAUCUGGACUCCCCCACAAGGGUUUAAAAACUUCCCAGCCAUCUUUGGAGAAGCCUUGGCUUCUGAUCAGGACUCAUUCCAUCCGGAAGAGUAUGGAUGUCAGCUCCUACAAUAGGGGGAUGACCUGCUGCUGGCUGCCUGAGACCAAGGAAAAAUGCUGGAAAGGGACAAAUGCACUGCUCCAGCUGUUGAUGGAAGGUUACCGGGUGUCGAAGAAGAAGGCACAGAUCUACAAAGAGGAGGUAAGGUAUCUGGGGUUUGUUUUAAAGAAGGACUCAGGGUUCCAGACCCUAAUUGGGUCCUAUAUACUGAUGGCACUCGCCUGAUAAAACAGGGACAACAGUGUGAGGGGGCCGCUCUAUGCAGAAACAGCCCAGGCAGGUGGUUGAGAGUCACCUGCAGAUCGGUCAUCAGUGGUCUGACCAACAUCAUCUUGAUUGUUUUCGGGACAGUGAACCUAGCUAUAGUACAUGUCCCCGGUCACCAGAUAGGAGAAGACCCUAAGGCGCGGGGCAAUCGUGCUGCUGAUGCGGCCGCUCGAGAAGCGGCUAGCCGGGACUAUGCUGCCCUCAUAUUAGCCGUGGGACUUCCACCUCCUUGUAUGGGGACCUUGCCACCAGUUCCCGAAUAUUCCCUCCCUGAUCUCGCCUGGAUCAACAAGGAUACCACCCUCCAGAAAGAUGACCAAGAUGGAUGGUACCGAGACCAAAUCAACAACCUGAUCUUGCCUGCCACCCUGGGUCGUCACCUGUGUGAACACCUGCACACAACUACACACUUGGGAGAAAAAAAGACCCUAACACUUCUCCAGACGGCCUGCCUGAGGUUCCCUCGACAAAAUGCCACUGUACGAGAGAUAAUUCAAGCCUGCGAAGCGUGCCAGCUGAUGAGGGCAGAGAAGAAGCAGCACUCGGGAACGAGAUACCGAGGGGAAAAGCCAGGGCAACAUUGGGAGAUAGAUUUCACUGAGAGGUUAAUGAUUCUUAUGUUCUGAGCGGCCUUAUCAGGUUAAUAAAAACGACAGUUUCCUGACAGGAGCAGAAAUCUUCCUAUUUUGCGGACUUCUAGAAGAGAGAAAUCUGCAAGGCAAAAACGAAUGGCAGGACUUUGGCCUGGAUUUCCUGAGCUUAGGAGGCUAUUUGUUGUUUGUCUUUGGCAUUUGGUCUGAAACACUUUUUUUGUACAUAUAAUUGUUUUAUUAUUGAUUUAUUCUUGGAGGUGGUCUUUCUGAUCAACACACAUACUCUUCCGUUCAAGGGGGGCUUUCUCGAGUUGCAGCACUAAUUGUGAACAAGACAGCUCAAAUUCUAGCCUCACAGCAAAGACCACUUGGAUACUACAUAUAUAUCAAAUGGAAACCCUCCACAACGCUUCUUCCUUCUUGUCCUCUAAACUAGGAGGACUCUUUUGAAAAACAUGACAAAUGUGUACUUUAAUCAUUAUCCUCAUGGUAAUAUGUCUCAUAAUUUUCAAAUGUCUGUCCAGGGCUUAUGACAAGGCAAUCAAAGAGAGAAAUAAUAUUGUCUUAAUACAGACUAUUGAUGCUAAGCUUGAAA